rnacentral:lncRNA from 1 species
AAGGUUCUAAGCUAAAUGAUACGUCCAUUUGGCACCGAAUUGGCCUGAUUUUGCCAAAUCGGUCUCUUAUUUAGUCUGAACUUGCUAAGUGGCGUUUGCAAUAUAGCAUCAGCCUCAUUUUGUUGGAAACAUUCUCUUCCAAGCUCCUUUUUCCACUUAACCCAGGGAAGAUCUAUAAACUCAUGUACUAUAAACACAUAUCUUUUGCCAACUCAAAGCUUGAAAGCCAAACAUCUCACUAUACUCCUCA